UAGCUAUUAGAUCAGCCGCUGUCAAGUCGUUGUUCCUCCUUUAAUGGUUGAGAUAUAUACUAGGCUUUUCUCUAGCUCCAGCAAUAGACUUCACUGCCCUAGCCAAUCAGAGAUAAGAGGUGGUGACAUUGGUGGCAGGGCUGUAUUAUGGGAGCCUUAAGAGUCUCAUUGAACUUGUCUGUUUCUGGAUCUCAACGAAUAAGACCGGCCCAGCACUACUUUACCAUCUCUCUUCCCCGUGGGGUUUGGAGGUAAUCCAAUCUAAACAUGGCAGAUGAAGAAAAUGAGGAGGAAGGUACAGUAAGACUUUGAGAAUGGAUUAUUACUUUUUGACUGAACAAAAUAUGCUUCAAGCCACUGUACACUGAGUGUACAAAACAUUAGGAACACCUGCUCUUUCCAUGACAUAGAUUGACCAGGUGAAAACCUAUGAUCCUUAAUUGAUGUCCUCUAUUAAAUCCACUUCAAUCAGUGUAGAUGAAGGGACAGGUUAAAGAAGGAUUUUUAAGCCUUGCGACAAUUGUGUGUGCAAUUCACAGGGUGAAUGGGCCAGCAAGAUAUUUUGAAACUGGGUAUGGUAAUAGGGGCCAGGCGCACCGGUUUGAUAAUGUCAAGAACUGCAACACUGCUGUUUUUUUUCACGCUCAACAGUUUCCCGUGUGUAUCAAAAAUGGUCCACCGCCCAAAGGACAUCCAGCCAACUUGACACAACUGUGGGAAGCAUCCCUGUGGAACGCUUUCAACACCUUGUAGAGUCCAUGCCCCGGCAAAUUGAGGCUGCUCAGAGGGGAAUAGGGGUUUACAACUCAAUAUUAGGAAGGGGUUCCUGAUGUUUUAUACACUCAAUUGCACAUAUAAUGCUAAGAUUGACUAUAUUAGCUAUAUUGCUGAGCUGACUUCACCUAUGUCUGCGCAGUCGCAGAAACCCCCGCAGAGGAAGGUAAAAGCUUUGCAUGGCUCCGUGCGUUACUUGGACAUUGUUUGAUGGAGCGCAUGAUAGAUAUACUGUAGCAAGUCUAUUGUGCUUCUUGUGUCAUUGUCAAAGCCUGUCAUAGGCCAUUCGUUACUGUUUACACUCAAAUUCUCCGUGAAUUUCAAAAAAGCACGCUUCGUGUACCUGAUCAAAAUACACGUUAAGUGAGAUCUUUUUCACGUGAAAUUUAAAAUGCUAUGUCUACGUUUUGUCUGUCAAGAUAAACAUGUAUAAUUUGCAUAUAUUUUGUAUACUGAUUUCCUACCCUUCUGUCUCUGUGGUGUAUGCUUACAUCGACAUCCAAUUCAUGAGUAUGAGACUUAUACCCUUUUCAUGCGUCCAUCUCCAUAUUCCAUCCACUAGCUAGACAGUGUUGUUCACUCCAGAAUGAUUCUCAAUGUUCUGACAAAGGUUUGCAUGACAUGUUUGUAUGUACUGUAUGGAAAUCACACUGAGACUAAAUCAGAUUUAAACAUUUGGAUCCAAUCUGAUCCUUAUGUAUGAAAAUGAGUUUCAUACCAGUUUGAUCGUGUAAUAAACAGUUUGCCUUGAUCUUAUCGUAGAAGUGGCCCAGACGACAGCUCUAGGAUAAGAUCACCCAACCCCAAUUCUAAACCACAAUCAUUAUUAUCCUUAAACAAUAGCUGACCCUAGGUCAGUGGUUAGGGCCAACUUCUGCCAACUCAUUGCUUUAUAUAGAUCCAAUAAUCAAUCUUCUGUCCACU